GGUUAAGCGACUAAGCGUACACGGUGGAUGCCCUGGCAGUCAGAGGCGAUGAAGGGCGUGCUAAUCUGCGAUAAGCGCCGGUAAGGUGAUAUGAACCGUUAUAACCGGCGAUACCCGAAUGGGGAAACCCAGUGUGAUUCGUCACACUAUCAUUAACUGAAUCCAUAGGUUAAUGAGGCGAACCGGGGGAACUGAAACAUCUAAGUACCCCGAGGAAAAGAAAUCAACCGAGAUUCCCCCAGUAGCGGCGAGCGAACGGGGAGGAGCCCAGAGCCUGAAUCAGCAUGUGUGUUAGUGGAAGCGUCUGGAAAGGCGCGCGAUACAGGGUGACAGCCCCGUACACAAAAGCGCAUGUGCUGUGAGCUCGAUGAGUAGGGCGGGACACGUGGUAUCCUGUCUGAAUAUGGGGGGACCAUCCUCCAAGGCUAAAUACUCCUGACUGACCGAUAGUGAACCAGUACCGUGAGGGAAAGGCGAAAAGAACCCCGGCGAGGGGAGUGAAAAAGAACCUGAAACCGUGUACGUACAAGCAGUGGGAGCCCCACCACCAAAGCAUUCUCUGGUGUUGAAGGCCCUGCAAAGCAGCAUCGCGGUGGCGGAGCGUCGUUUGCGACGCCCAACACACAAAACAAGCGGUGAAUGCUUUGGGGUGGGGUGACUGCGUACCUUUUGUAUAAUGGGUCAGCGACUUAUAUUCUGUAGCAAGGUUAACCGAAUAGGGGAGCCGGAGGGAAACCGAGUCUUAAUUGGGCGUUAAGUUGCAGGGUAUAGACCCGAAACCCGGUGAUCUAGCCAUGGGCAGGUUGAAGGUUGGGUAACACUAACUGGAGGACCGAACCGACUAAUGUUGAAAAAUUAGCGGAUGACCUGUGGCUGGGGGUGAAAGGCCAAUCAAACCGGGAGAUAGCUGGUUCUCCCCGAAAGCUAUUUAGGUAGCGCCUCGUGAAUUCAUCUCCGGGGGUAGAGCACUGUUUCGGCUAGGGGGCCAUCCCGGCUUACCAACCCGAUGCAAACUGCGAAUACCGGAGAAUGUUAUCACGGGAGACACACGGCGGGUGCUAACGUCCGUCGUGAAGAGGGAAACAACCCAGACCGCCAGCUAAGGUCCCAAAGUCAUGGUUAAGUGGGAAACGAUGUGGGAAGGCCCAGACAGCCAGGAUGUUGGCUUAGAAGCAGCCAUCAUUUAAAGAAAGCGUAAUAGCUCACUGGUCGAGUCGGCCUGCGCGGAAGAUGUAACGGGGCUAAACCAUGCACCGAAGCUGCGGCAGCGAACGUAUCACCCAAGACAACUUUACGGAGUUGACGAUUGACGGAGCGAAGCGACGUCAAAGCGUUCAUUAAAGUCGAGUUGGCUUAGGGAUACGUUCGUUGGGUAGGGGAGCGUUCUGUAAGCCUGUGAAGGUGUGUCGUGAGGCAUGCUGGAGGUAUCAGAAGUGCGAAUGCUGACAUAAGUAACGAUAAAGCGGGUGAAAAGCCCGCUCGCCGGAAGACCAAGGGUUCCUGUCCAACGUUAAUCGGGGCAGGGUGAGUCGACCCCUAAGGCGAGGCCGAAAGGCGUAGUCGAUGGGAAACGGGUUAAUAUUCCCGUACUUGGUGUUACUGCGAAGGGGGGACGGAGAAGGCUAUGUUGGCCGGGCGACGGUUGUCCCGGUUUAAGCGUGUAGGUGUGUGUUCCAGGUAAAUCCGGUUCACUUUAACACUGAGGCGUGACGACGAGGCACUACGGUGCUGAAGCAACAAAUGCCCUGCUUCCAGGAAAAGCCUCUAAGCAUCAGGUAACACGAAAUCGUACCCCAAACCGACACAGGUGGUCAGGUAGAGAAUACCAAGGCGCUUGAGAGAACUCGGGUGAAGGAACUAGGCAAAAUGGUGCCGUAACUUCGGGAGAAGGCACGCUGACACGUAGGUGAAGUGAUUUACUCAUGGAGCUGAAGUCAGUCGAAGAUACCAGCUGGCUGCAACUGUUUAUUAAAAACACAGCACUGUGCAAACACGAAAGUGGACGUAUACGGUGUGACGCCUGCCCGGUGCCGGAAGGUUAAUUGAUGGGGUCAGCGCAAGCGAAGCUCCUGAUCGAAGCCCCGGUAAACGGCGGCCGUAACUAUAACGGUCCUAAGGUAGCGAAAUUCCUUGUCGGGUAAGUUCCGACCUGCACGAAUGGCGUAAUGAUGGCCAGGCUGUCUCCACCCGAGACUCAGUGAAAUUGAACUCGCUGUGAAGAUGCAGUGUACCCGCGGCAAGACGGAAAGACCCCGUGAACCUUUACUAUAGCUUGACACUGAACAUUGAGCCUUGAUGUGUAGGAUAGGUGGGAGGCUUUGAAGUGUGGACGCCAGUCUGCAUGGAGCCGACCUUGAAAUACCACCCUUUAAUGUUUGAUGUUCUAACGUGGACCCGUAAUCCGGGUUGCGGACAGUGUCUGGUGGGUAGUUUGACUGGGGCGGUCUCCUCCUAAAGAGUAACGGAGGAGCACGAAGGUUGGCUAAUCCUGGUCGGACAUCAGGAGGUUAGUGCAAUGGCAUAAGCCAGCUUGACUGCGAGCGUGACGGCGCGAGCAGGUGCGAAAGCAGGUCAUAGUGAUCCGGUGGUUCUGAAUGGAAGGGCCAUCGCUCAACGGAUAAAAGGUACUCCGGGGAUAACAGGCUGAUACCGCCCAAGAGUUCAUAUCGACGGCGGUGUUUGGCACCUCGAUGUCGGCUCAUCACAUCCUGGGGCUGAAGUAGGUCCCAAGGGUAUGGCUGUUCGCCAUUUAAAGUGGUACGCGAGCUGGGUUUAGAACGUCGUGAGACAGUUCGGUCCCUAUCUGCCGUGGGCGCUGGAGAACUGAGGGGGGCUGCUCCUAGUACGAGAGGACCGGAGUGGACGCAUCACUGGUGUUCGGGUUGUCAUGCCAAUGGCACUGCCCGGUAGCUAAAUGCGGAAGAGAUAAGUGCUGAAAGCAUCUAAGCACGAAACUUGCCCCGAGAUGAGUUCUCCCUGAGACUUAGAGUCUCCUGAAGGAACGUUGAAGACGACGACGUUGAUAGGCCGGGUGUGUAAGCGCAGCGAUGCGUUGAGCUAACCGGUACUAAUGAACCGUGAGGCUUAACCUU
rnacentral:rRNA from 1 species